rnacentral:misc_RNA from 1 species
GAUGAAGAACGCAGCAAAAUGCGAUAAGUAAUGUGAAUUGCAGAAUUCAGUGAAUCAUCGAAUCUUUGAACGCACAUUGCGCCCGCCAGUAUUCUGGCGGGCAUGCCUGUUCGAGCGUCAUUUCAACCCUCAAGCACAGCUUGGUGUUGGGACUCGCGUUAAUUCGCGUUCCCCAAAUUGAUCGGCGGUCACGUCGAGCUUCCAUAGCGUAGUAGUAAAACCCUCGUUACUGGUAAUCGUCGCGGCCACGCCGUUAAACCCCAACUUCUGAAUGUUGACCUCGGAUCAGGUAGGAAUACCCGCUGAACUUAAGCAUAUCAAUAAGCGGAGGA